UGGGGAAUAUUGGACAAUGGGGGCAACCCUGAUCCAGCAAUGCCGCGUGUGUGAAGAAGGCCUGCGGGUUGUAAAGCACUUUCAAUCGUGAAGAAAAGCUUACGGUUAAUACCCGUAAGUCUUGACGUUAACGAUACAAGAAGCACCGGCUAACUCCGUGCCAGCAGCCGCGGUAAUACGGAGGGUGCGAGCGUUAAUCGGAAUUACUGGGCGUAAAGAGCACGUAGGCGGUUUGGUCAGUCGGAUGUGAAAGCCCCGGGCUUAACCUGGGAAUUGCAUUCGAUACUGCCAGACUAGAGUUUAAUAGAGGAAUGCGGAAUUCCGGGUGUAGCGGUGAAAUGCGUAGAUAUCCGGAGGAACAUCAGUGGCGAAGGCGGCAUUCUGGGUUAAAACUGACGCUGAGGUGCGAAAGCGUGGGGAGCAAACAGGAUUAGAUACCCCCGUAGUCC
rnacentral:rRNA from 1 species